rnacentral:rRNA from 1 species
UUUUUAAGGCUGAGACACGACGUCGAGCACCUACGGGUGUGAAGUCAUUGAUGCCAUGCUUCCAGGAAAAGCCUCUAAGCUUCAGAUUGUAAGGAAUCGUACCCCAAACCGACACAGGUGGUCGGGUAGAGAAUACCAAGGCGCUUGAGAGAACUCGGGUGAAGGAACUAGGCAAAAUGGUACCGUAACUUCGGGAGAAGGUACGCUCUUGAUGGUGAAGUCCCUUGCGGAUGGAGCUGACGAGAGUCGCAGAUACCAGGUGGCUGCAACUGUUUAUUAAAAACACAGCACUGUGCAAAAUCGUAAGAUGACGUAUACGGUGUGACGCCUGCCCGGUGCCGGAAGGUUAAUUGAUGGGGUUAGACUUCGGUCGAAGCUCUUGAUCGAAGCCCCGGUAAACGGCGGCCGUAACUAUAACGGUCCUAAGGUAGCGAAAUUCCUUGUCGGGUAAGUUCCGACCUGCACGAAUGGCGUAAUGAUGGCCACGCUGUCUCCACCCGAGACUCAGUGAAAUUGAAAUCGCUGUGAAGAUGCAGUGUACCCGCGGCUAGACGGAAAGACCCCGUGAACCUUUACUACAGCUUGGCACUGAACAUUGACCCUACAUGUGUAGGAUAGGUGGGAGGCUUUGAAGCACGUACGCCAGUAUGUGUGGAGCCGUCCUUGAAAUACCACCCUUGUAGUGUUGAUGUUCUAACGUCGACCCCUAAUCGGGGUUGCGGACAGUGCCUGGUGGGUAGUUUGACUGGGGCGGUCUCCUCCCAAAGAGUAACGGAGGAGCACGAAGGUGGGCUAAUCACGGUUGGACAUCGUGAGGUUAGUGCAAUGGCAUAAGCCCGCUUGACUGCGAGAAUGACAAUUCGAGCAGGUGCGAAAGCAGGUCAUAGUGAUCCGGUGGUUCUGAAUGGAAGGGCCAUCGCUCAACGGAUAAAAGGUACUCCGGGGAUAACAGGCUGAUACCGCCCAAGAGUUCAUAUCGACGGCGGUGUUUGGCACCUCGAUGUCGGCUCAUCACAUCCUGGGGCUGAAGUCGGUCCCAAGGGUAUGGCUGUUCGCCAUUUAAAGUGGUACGCGAGCUGGGUUUAGAACGUCGUGAGACAGUUCGGUCCCUAUCUGCCGUGGGCGUUGGAAGAUUGAAGGGGGCUGCUCCUAGUACGAGAGGACCGGAGUGGACGAACCUCUGGUGUUCGGGUUGUGUCGCCAGACGCAUUGCCCGGUAGCUAAGUUCGGAAUCGAUAACCGCUGAAAGCAUCUAAGCGGGAAGCGAGCCCUGAGAUGAGUCUUCCCUGAUACUUUAAGUAUCCUAAAGGGUUGUCGGAGACUACGACGUUGAUAGGUCAGGUGUGUAAGUGCUGUGAGGCAUUGAGCUAACUGAUACUAAUUGCCCGUGAGGCUUAACCAUACAACACCCAAGGGGUUU